CCCUUCUUAGCAGCCAACAUCAGGAAGGAAACAGCACACCCCAGACCUCAAGCUGUGCUAGAAAUCUUCUUCUUAACCAGCUCUAACCGUACAAAGGGUGAUAACAAAAAUGCUAAAAAAAAAAAAAUAUUCACUACUUUGGGCAAUUAUCUCUCUGAAAUUCAUGGUAGCGAAGGGAUGAAUGUCCUACCUAGUUGAAAAGGUAGAAGCUUCCUGGAGACAAAAUCUUAGCUGCCUUUUUCCUGAUAUGGCAUCACAGGAAGGACCAGAAAAAAACAAAGAACAUACAUUAGGUAUUCAGACGCGGCCAGGAAAAUGUGGGGGGGCGGAGCUAACUUUUAAGCUGAACAGUCAAACAUCCCAGCAGCACUGGGCAGAAGAACUAUUGGAGGAAAAUGUAAGCAAGUUGAAAUUACCAAACAGCUGCUAGAGCAUCUACUGAAUCUGCUUGAGAAUCCCUGCAACAUGCAAUAUAUGUGGGAAAAUUGUUGAGCAGGCAUUAGGUCUCUCUCUGGAAGACCCAUCAUUCUACUAUCUGAAUGAACACCUCCUGAUGGAAAGACCAUUCCCCUGGAUGGGGAGAAUAACUACUCAGAUAAUCUGCUUCCCAACUUUUGACCCCCUGGAAAAUGAAUAGCAGAAAUCAUACAAAGAUUUUUCCCUGCCCGAGAUAGGAUACGAGAGAUGUCCUUCAUCACUAAAACUACAAGUUCCCACUUGGAGAGUAAUAUACGUCACUGUUGUGAUAUUGUCUGAUUGUAAGAGAAGGGACAUCUCUUUUAUCAGCAGAGGUCAGCUCUGGAGAGCCCUUAAGAGUUCUAGGAUAUUUAUUGGUAGCCUUGCCUCCUGAGGAGACAAAAUCCCUGUACUCUCCUGGAUGCCCAAAUUGCACCCCAACCCAAGAGACUUACAUCUGUUGUAAUUAUAGUCCAGGAUGGAUGGACAAUAGAUGCUCCCUGAGGAAAGGACUGGUUCUCUAUCAACUAGGAUAGAUAAUUUCUUGUAGCUGGAUCCAAAAUUGAUUAUUUAAGAAAGCUGAAUGUAGUCCUUGCACCACUGAAACUAAGCAUGCAUAACUGAAGAAGAGGUCUCAAGUGAAAACAAGUAAUUAGAAUGACAUCUGAUACAGCACUCAUCAGACAUAGAACUUCCAUGCAUAAAGAGACAAUAGUAUUGGAUAUAAACUGAAGUUUUACACAAGCGGACUGCAGCUUUUUUCUUCUUUGAACUGACAAAGAAAACAUCAUUGUCAUGGAAUCUAUAUUGACUCAAGAGAAAAGAGAGUCUGGAUUGAGGAGACAGAGAGCUAUUUGGAACGUUGAUUCUUCAACCAUGAUUGCGAAGAAAAGUUUGUUUGUAAGAGAUAGAGUUAAAGGUAAAGAUGGAACCUGACCAAGGACUGUUGAUGAUCCUUGUGAAUAGGAAUAUGAAGGUAAGCAUCUUUUAAAAUGUAUUGUGGACAUAAACUGGCCAUGUUGCACAAGGUUGAGGAAUAGUUUGAAUGGUUUCCAUUUUGAAGGUGGUUACACUGAAAAAUUUGUUUAGUGUUUUCAAAUUCAGAAUAGGCCUGAAAGUUCCCUCUUUCUUGAGAACUAUGAACAAAUGUGAAUAAAAAGGUUGUCCUUGUUCUUGAAUUGGAACUGAAACUAUUACUCCCAUGAGUUCUAGAUCUUGAACACAACAAAAAAAAAAGCAUGAACCUUCACAGGGUUCUUUGGAAAAAAAAAAGAUUUUGACGGCAGACAAGAGCCAUAGGCCCAGCAAGUCUGCCCAAUAUUUCCUAAAAGUAUAAUCGUAUCUUGUUCGUAGGAUGUCCUUAUGCUUAUCCCAGGCAUUCUUAAAUCCCUCUCAAUGAAGAAUCUGGAGUACCUCAAUUCUUCACCUACUUCCUGGGAGGCAAAGUUUAGACUGGCAUACCAGUGAGGUGGGAGGGACGAAGUAUUCUUGAAAGUUUUGGAAAUCUGUAUUUAUUUUUUCAGUUACUCGCCCAGUGGGCGAGAAUAUUUUUCGGUAAUCAUAGUCCUUGCAUUACCCAUAACUGAACAUUUUAUAUAAAAAUGUCAAGGUGUUUACUGUCCCUUUACAGAGAAAUAGUGUGAUCCAUGCAGGAGCUCAUUUACAUUUGCCACAAAAGACAAGAUGCAAUAAAAAUAAGUAAGGAUUUUUUCCCCAAGAGAUGUAAAGAUGAAUGGCUUUAAAUUCCUUGGAGUUUUGUACUCUUAGAAGUUUUGGGAAUCUGUGUCUCCUCCUAUAGGCUAGGAAGUGAAUCCCAUGCAUAAUGGAUCGUGGACUCUCACUUUAUGAAAGAAAUUUAAUUUUUACUUAAGUAUUCCUUUAAUAGAAAUCUUUGCAAUAUGUAUUAAACAUCAUUUUAAAAUGAUUAUACCUUUUGUUUCUUUUUUUAACUUUUUUCUGCAGUGUCAAUUAUUUCCUGUCACAUCCCUAUAAUGGCUCUUUAGAAGGACAGUAAAAAACUUGAAGUUACAGGUUUGAAAUAAAAUAGACAUAUCAUCCAAAUCUAUUUUUUUAAAAAUAAAAAAACAGCCUUUUUACCACAAUUGUUUUUUUAAUAGCCACAUACCACCAACCAUUUGCGUUAUUUGGAGGAGCCAAUCCGGGCUAGUAACUGUCAUAACGUUAAUAUAAAAUGCAUUUUGCAGUUGUUAUUAGUUAAAGCCAAUUAGGGAAGCAGGGUCGGCCUUGAGAAGUCUGCAGGGAGCAAUUUAAGUUUUAAGAUUUAGAAAAUCCUCAAUUUUCAAACAAUUAAAUGAAAAGGAGGAAACUAGCGUGUUUCGGAUGUUAGCUUAGCGAUGUCCCUGCAGACGUACUAUUGUUUUGGGAGCACAAUACUAGCGUUUUCGGGAUGUUAGCUUAGCAAUGUUACAGCGGACAUACUAUUGUUUUGGGAGCACAAUACAAGCGUUUUCGGGAUGUUAGCUUAGCAAUGUCAUGGCAGACAUACUAUUUUUUUGGGAGCACAAUACUAGCGUGUUCCAGAUGUUAGCUUAGCGAUCUCAUGGCAGACGCACUAUUUUUUUGGGAGCACAAUACUAGCGUGUUCCAGAUGUUAGCUUAGCGAUCUCAUGGCAGACGCACUAUUUUUUUGGGAGCACAAUACUAGCGUGUUCCAGAUGUUAGCUUAGCGAUCUCAUGGCAGACAUACUAUUGUUUUUGGGAGCUCAAUACCAGUGGAAUUAAAAAAAUAAACUGCUGCUCAGGUUUUCAAUUAUCUAUAUUUUGCAGACUUACUGAUAAUGCGCAUUGCAUAUCCAAGUAUUGGUUUAAUGAUGUGGUGCUAUCUUAAUGAUGUCAGUGAACCCUCAAAAAAGAAGAAGGUAGAUGAUGCAGAAGAAAGCAGAAGAGUUGUCAAGACUUGGUGCAUUUCUGAUUGUGAGUUUAACUGCCAAGAGCACUCUGACUCAGACUGACAUGUUAACUUUAGUUUCAACAAUGUUUUAUGAACAUAGAUCAGGUAGUUCUUUGUUGAGUUUAAUACAGUGAAUGAUGCUCAUUUACUUAGUUUUUUAAUGUUAUAUUUGCUUUGAAAGCAGUUUUUGGUAAUUCCAAUGGUAUCAAUCCUUCAAAAUUUAAUUUUGCACGAUUGUUUAGUUUCAUGAUUGUAUAAUUGGACGAAUGUCAGUAAUGUAAACAAAAAUAAAGAAUUCAACUUUGAGAUAUAACAA